CCUAGGAUGAUUUAAGGCAAAGGAAUACAGGCUUACUGGGUGAGACAUAGAUAAGCAGGUGUUUGGAGCUAUAGACUCAGGAUUGGUUGGUUUGCAUAUGAAAGAAGUGAUCCCAGCUGAGCCCUUUGCUAUCCUUAAGAAUGGAUUAGCCCUGGGAGGAGCCUCUCUAGUGGCCAGCAGCUUUUCCAAGGCGUUAAAAACAUCAUAAAAUAUAGAAAAUAAAAGACCUGAUUAAUACACCAUGCAUAAAGGAGUUUAUAUCUACAGGAGAAGUAAGUCUGUACAUUAAAAGGUAAAUCAUAAGACAAGGUAAUUGUGAGAAAUGAGAUGAUUCAUUUCCCGAAAUACCAAAUAAAAGCUUUGCUGUCUAGUUAAUAGGUUUACAACCUAUUGGAAGUGUGUGCGAACCCGUCCUUCCACAGUGGAGCCCCAAACCCUUAGAUACUUCACUUCCUGGAUCUUCUUCCCUCUCCAUUUUGCAGGCUUAUUUUUUGUGGGCUUUGCAAUAAGCCUCUGCCAAAGAACUGAAGUAUCCGCAUCACCUCAAGGAAUGUACAUUUGUUCCAAUCAGACUGCUUUUUGCCUUAAAAGGGUGUAGGCGAUGUCCGGAACUGAAAUGGAAGAAUGCAAUCACAGAUCUGAACACAUGCACCAUAGAAAGAGUGUGUUUCAUCCAAAUCUCUAGGAUGAAGCAUCAUGACCUAGGUAAGAAAACUGGAUCCAACACAAGGAGACCUCAGACCCUAGAGUGGCUCUCCACUAGCUGAGAGA